AGUAAUCUAAACAGAGCCCCGGGAAGUGAGGCUGGGCCAGAGGUGAAGGGAGACUGCAGCCCGCUCACCGGCCUCCACUCCAGACCCGACGCAUUCGUUUGGCCUCUGCUCACACAAGGCCCGGCUGCUGUGGGUGACCCUGGAGAGUGCUCUGAGCCUGCCGGCGCGAGGCAGACGGGCAAAGGGCACGACCAGAGGGGAGGAGAAGGAAGAAAGUUCUGGGGGAUCCAGAGCCCAGGCAGAGCACCCCAGGUCCCUCCCAGCCUCAAAGUGCCACCCUCCGUCCCGCCCUCCUCACCCCCAGCUCUUCAUUGGCACCUGUCUGUGCCCAGGAAGACCCCAUUUGUGGUGCCCUCUCAGAGAGACAUGAGCGCCUUGGAAACCCUGGGAUUGGAGAUUAACUGACCAACCCAGGUGAGCCUGUCGCAAGACUCCAUAGUCCAGACCGAGGCCUGUGGAGGAACAGCCUCAGGACCUCGCGUCUGGAGGGAGGCUGUGCUGAGGCUCGGGGGGGUUCGGGGCAGGGGGAGGGCAAGUGGGACGCAGCCAGACCUGACCUGUAGGGCAACCUACACUUGUACUUUUCCAGCUUGGAUGCAGCCGGGCUGGGGCGCGGCCCAGCCUGCUUGGAGGAAGUCGUUCGCUCCCUGCGGUGGUGGCAACGGCUCAAACUCCAGCCCCGGGGGACUUGUGAAUCACUGCCCAAAGUCUGGAUUUGCCCAGAGCCUGCCCCAGCACCUCACUCACCGGGACAUCCUCAAAGGCAAUGCUGGUCACAUUGUUAUGGGGGCAGCUCUGCCAGGCGUUGUUCAGCCGGAAGGCCAGGGCACUGGUGUGCCGGCCCUCCAGGGCCACAAACUUGCGGAAGGUGCAGUUCUGGAUGUUGAUGGGGCCGUCAUAGAACUGAAUUCCUCGGAUCGGAAAAUUCCUACAGAGUUAAGGAAGCGAGAGGUCAGCCUGUUCGCCACGUUAUGCCACCGAGUUGUUUGCACCCUUCAAGGUGAUGGAAACAGAGACUUUCUGGGUAAACCGUCCUGCUCCCCACCUCCUGCCACUCCUCGCUGCAGGGCAUUAUUGAUUCAUCCAUCAGUUCAUGAGAAAGUAUUUAUAGACACAGUAAAUGUCAAUAAAUGAUUGCUAGAUGA